GGGGGUGUAGCUCAGCUGGGAGAGCGCCACGUUCGCAACGUGGAGGCCGCCGGUUCGACCCCGGCCAUCUCCACCA
rnacentral:tRNA from 1 species